UACGUAGGGUGCGAGCGUUAAUCGGAAUUACUGGGCGUAAAGCGUGCGCAGGCGGUUUUGCAAGACAGAUGUGAAAUCCCCGGGCUCAACCUGGGAACUGCAUUUGUGACUGCACGGCUGGAGUGCGGCAGAGGGGGAUGGAAUUCCGCGUGUAGCAGUGAAAUGCGUAGAUAUGCGGAGGAACACCGAUGGCGAAGGCAAUCCCCUGGGCCUGCACUGACGCUCAUGCACGAAAGCGUGGGGAGCAAACAGG
rnacentral:rRNA from 1 species